GGGUCAGUAGGUUGGUCGUGCCACCGGUACGUACUUGUCUCACUGAUUCCUCCUUCCUGAAGAACCGUAAUGCCAUUAAUUUGGUGUUGCGGGGAAACAGGACUGUUACUUUUAAAAAAUUAGAGUGUUUAAAGCAAGCUAACGCUUGAAUACAUUAGCAUGGAAUAAUGAAAUAGGACGAUCGAUCCUAUUUUGUUGGUUUCUAGGAUUGACGUAAUUAUUAAUAGGUAUAGUUGGG
rnacentral:rRNA from 1 species